AGUGAACGCUGGCGGUAGGCCUAACACUUGCAAGUCGAACGGCAGCACAGUAAGAGCUUGCUCUUACGGGUGGCGAGUGGCGGACGGGUGAGGAAUACAUCGGAAUCUACUUUUUCGUGGGGGAUAACGUAGGGAAACUUACGCUAAUACCGCAUACGACCUACGGGUGAAAGCAGGGGAUCUUCGGACCUUGCGCGAUUGAAUGAGCCGAUGUCGGAUUAGCUAGCUGGCGGGGUAAAGGCCCACCAAGGCGACGAUCCGUAGCUGGUCUGAGAGGAUGAUCAGCCACACUGGAACUGAGACACGGUCCAGACUCCUACGGGAGGCAGCAGUGGGGAAUAUUGGACAAUGGGCGCAAGCCUGAUCCAGCCAUACCGCGUGGGUGAAGAAGGCCUUCGGGUUGUAAAGCCCUUUUGUUGGGAAAGAAAAGCAGCAGGUUAAUACCCCGCUGUUCUGACGGUACCCAAAGAAUAAGCACCGGCUAACUUCGUG
rnacentral:rRNA from 1 species